rnacentral:rRNA from 1 species
UGAAUACGAGACGCUAAGGCGUCGAAGUAGUGUAUGUCAUACUUCCAAGAAAAGCUUGCACUGUCAUAGAUAAAAAACGCCUGUACCAUAACCGACACAGGUGGGUAGGUAGAGUAUACUAAGGGGCGCGAGAUAACUCUCUCUAAGGAACUCGGCAAAAUAACUCCGUAACUUCGGGAGGAGGAGUGCCUUAUUCGUAAGGUUGCAAUAACAAGAUCCAAGCAACUGUUUAUCAAGAACACAGGUCUCCGCUAAGUCGUAAGACGAUGUAUGGGGGCUGACGCCUGCCCAGUGCCAGAAGGUUAAAGAAGUUGGUUAGCAAUUGCGAAGCUGAUAACUGAAGCCCUGGUGAACGGCGGCCGUAACAAUAACGGUCCUAAGGUAGCGAAAUUCCUUGUCGGGUAAGUUCCGACCCGCACGAAAGGCGUAAUGAUUUGGAUACUGUCUCGGAGAGGGGCUCGGUGAAAUAGACUUGUCUGUGAAGAUGCGGACUACCUGCACCAGGACAGAAAGACCCUAUGAAGCUUUACUGUAACUUGAAAUUGAAAUUGGACUUUAUUCGCGCAGUAUAGGUGGGAGGCGUUGAUUAUAAUCUUGUGGGAUUAUUGGAGCCAUCAGUGAGAUACCACUCUUGUAAUGUUAGAUUUCUAACUUUGAAUCAUUUUCUGGUCAAAGAACAGUUUCAGGCGGGCAGUUUGACUGGGGCGGUCGCCUCCUAAACGGUAACGGAGGCGUACAAAGGUUUCCUCUGAACGGUUAGAAAUCGUAUCUAGAGUGUAAAGGCAUAAGGAAGCUUGACUGUGAGACCUACAAGUCGAGCAGGGACGAAAGUCGGUCUUAGUGAUCUGACGGUACUGAGUGGAAAGGCCGUCACUCAACGGAUAAAAGUUACUCUAAGGAUAACAGGCUGAUCUCCCCCAAGAGUUCACAUCGACGGGGAGGUUUGGCACCUCGAUGUCGGCUCAUCGCAUCCUGGGGCGGUAGUACGUCCCAAGGGUUGGGCUGUUCGCCCAUGAAAGCGGUACGCGAGCUGGGUUCAGAACGUCGUGAGACAGUUCGGUCCAUAUCCGGUGUAGGCGUUAGAAUAUUGAGAGGAGCCUUCUUUAGUACGAGAGGACCGAGAAGGACAUACCUCUGGUGUACCAGUUAUCGUGCCAACGGUAAACGCUGGGUAGCUAUGUAUGGAGUGGAUAACCGCUGAAAGCAUCUAAGUGGGAAGCCCACCUCAAGAUAAGUAUUCUCAUCACGUAAGUGAGUAAGGUCACGGUAAGACUAACCGUUUGAUAGGCAUUAAGUGUAAGUACAGUAAUGUAUGUGCUGAGAUGUCCUAAUAGACCGAGGAC